AUGUAGGGCAAUCUGUCUUUAAGUAGGGGUAAAUUACUCUUUAAAAAAAAAAGAAUCCUAGAUAGUUUUCCCUUCAGUGAAGCGUCUUGU
rnacentral:pre_miRNA from 1 species